rnacentral:rRNA from 1 species
AUUGAACGCUGGCGGCAUGCCUUACACAUGCAAGUCGAACGGUAACGGGUCCUUCGGGAUGCCGACGAGUGGCGAACGGGUGAGUAAUAUAUCGGAACGUGCCCAGUAGUGGGGGAUAACUGCUCGAAAGAGCGGCUAAUACCGCAUACGACCUGAGGGUGAAAGGGGGGGAUCGCAAGACCUCUCGCUAUUGGAGCGGCCGAUAUCAGAUUAGCUAGUUGGUGGGGUAAAGGCCUACCAAGGCAACGAUCUGUAGUUGGUCUGAGAGGACGACCAGCCACACUGGGAAUGAGACACGGCCCAGACUCCUACGGGAGGCAGCAGUGGGGAAUUUUGGACAAUGGGCGCAAGCCUGAUUCAGCAAUGCCGCGUACAGGAAGAAGGCCUUCGGGUUGUAAACUGCUUUUGUCAGGGAAGAAAUCUUCUGGGCUAAUACCCCGGGAGGAUGACGGUACCUGAAGAAUAAGCACCGGCUAACUACGUGCCAGCAGCCGCAGUAA